rnacentral:lncRNA from 1 species
UAUCUACCUGAUACACUGCAAGCUGGUUAUCACUGUAAAUAGUAUUGGACACUGUUGUAUCAACCACCCCAGUUGUUACAUUCACUUGGUUCCCUGAGGUGGUCACAUUUAGAGGGUACUCUCCGUCAUCACUGUUUCCAGCUUGCGUGUGCAAGGGGUUACUUGCUGUUUGGAACUGUGAGAUGGUGUAGAGAGUGGGGAGAAUGUGGAAUUGUAUCAGCUGCAUUUGGUCUUGUGAGUUUAUGGAGUUUAAUGUUCCUGCUUUGAGGCUUGAGAAUGCAUUAUCAGUGGGUGCAAACACGGUUAGGCCUUGGUUUGAGUUGUUUAGCUGUGAAUUGAUUCUAUCAGCUAUUUGUGAGGCUUUGAGGAGUUUGAUGAAGGUUGUGAAUUGUCCUGCUUUCUCAAGCACUUGGGUGAUGUUGGUGGGUCCCGCUGGUGCCGGUGCUACUUGGGCUGAAAUUGUUUGGAUGAAGAUGUUGAGGAAGAGGAAAGGGAGGAAAUUGAAUAGCUUUGUCAUUGGUGUUCCUUGUGAGUGAGGAAAUUAAGAAGAGAAGACUAAGAUGUUUGUUACAAGUGGAAGGAAGAGAUGUGGUGUCGUAAUAUAUAUUAAGAAGAGGGUGCAUGGAAAUUUGAUUGUUUAAAAGGUUAGGUGAAAGGUUGCAAUUAGUAUAAGGUAGCAAGAGGCCCUCAUGCAAUCAAUUUUUUUUCUAAAAGCAUGACAUUAAAGGGAGGGGAGUCCCUUGGUGGGGGCUUCCCUGGCAUGGAUGAACGCAAAUUUGAUUGGUGAAGAUUGAAAAAAAAAAAAAAACUGGUGAUGAUUUUGUUAGAGAAUGUUGUUUUGUAGAAUAUGUGAAUUAAUCGAUGUGUGGUUGUUUCAACUUGAUGAGAUGUCUCAAAUGAAUAUACAUUUGUGUUAAAUAUUUGAAGAGAGAGUUUUACCGUCCAUAAUAAUCUUAUCUGACUUGAACAGGAUUAUAUCCAAUGAAAAUUACGUUUAGAAAAAAAAGUUUUGUUCAAGGGUCCACCACAAUAAUAUAUUAUGACUAAUUUUGGAUCGCUUGCUAAUGGUCGUUUAGGUAAAAUACGUAAUAAGGCAUCCCCCAUAUGCUUGUAAGAUAAGCAAUGUGCUUUACAGAAAUUUUUGCUUUGUGAACAAGUGAUGAUGAGGUGGAUGUUAGUUAAGGAGGCGCAUUUUGAUGUUGUCCCGUUUUCUUUUUAUGUGGUGGUUGUCACAAUGUAACGAGAUGACUUUAAAUUCCAGGUAACCGUAACAGUUUUUCACGCAUUUGAGUCAAUUGAAUAGAGACACACAGUUAACGCUAUGAAAAUUUUAGUUAGUGCCGAGUGUCCAUCAUCCCAUAUUUAGCUGCAACUGUCACUCCUGAAAUUUUAAUUCAUAUACUAUACGCUUACGACUACAAUAUGUUAUCAAGCAAUUGCCGUGAGAAGUUGAUUUUUCAUUUAUAUGUGGAUAAUGAUGUAUUGAUACUGUUUACUAAUGCACACUAUAAUAAGUUAUAUAUGAUAUAACGAGAAAAAAGAAAUAGACUGAAAUAAUCGGUGCUUCAAAUAUAAUUUCUCCGUAUAAAGUAUUUUUUCGGUAUUGACUCUCAAAGUAUGCAUGUCUUUCAUCAAUUCUCUGAAUCCUAGGUAUUUUUCAGUUGAUAUUAUUUUGGAAGCUGCAAACUAUGUACUCUGUUUUUUGGUUUACAAUGAAAUCUAAGUACUCAGUUCAUUUAUUAAGAAAUCCAAAAAGAAUAAAUACAUGAUGAAAAAUAUAACAAUUUACAAGUAGGAACUUAGAAGUUUUGUUUUUUUAUUUAGUAUUUUUAAUCAUUAACAAAUUAAUGUUUUAAUAAGUACACUUGUUAAAAAAAUAAGUACUCUCUCCAUCCUCUCUAUCAUUUAAUCAUUUUCUUAAAAUUUUAUUGCUGGAGUACACUUCUCUUUUGUAUAGGAAAAUGCUAGAGAAAAUCCAAUUUGUUGGUUUGGAUCCCCUCCAGAGGACUUUGACCCACAUAAAUGAAUAAAGACAAUACAUUGACUUGAUACUACUAAGCUCGAUUGCAGAUAAGCAGACUCAAUUCUACAAAGGGGUUGAGAAUCUUUUGCCUCUAUAUAAACGCCCAUGCAAUGCAGUUGUGAUCCACCCUCAGAGGCACCUCCCAUGCCUCAUCACAUAAAAAUAACUAUUUUUGUCUAAGAAUGAUAUAAAUAGACCAUAGAGGCCUUAGUUAUACUCUCUAAUUUAACACUCUUAACCUUCACCUACAUUCACUAACUUGAGCCUUGUAGUCCUUGCUAAGUAUACCAUUGAAGUUCAGCUCAUAUAACUCAGUGGAGAUUCUGCUCGAAUAUUUCAUCCCUUGGACUGGUGUUGAACAUUUGGCACCAUCCGUGGGAAUUAUUCAUUGAAAUUGUUCACGUUUUGUACCAAUCCUUCUGCAACUUUGCAAAUCCACUCAUCAAGGAUGGUCCAACUAGAGCAAACUCCCAUUCUUGAAAAUGUCUAUGACCAUUGCUUCUUUGAUCCUGAUUUGGAGCAUCUUCCCUCUUUGACAAAAGAGGAACCACCACCUCACCUCACCUAAAAUAAUUUUACAGCCUAAAAAAAGAACUCAUCCAUGAACAAGUCCUGCUCAUUCGCGCACAAAACUAGAGGAUUCAAUGCCUUAAACAGCAACAAGAAAAGUUAAAAACCAAUUCACUGAAGUCUAAAACAAGUAGGUCAACAAGUCAUCAGAGCCAUCCAUGACAAGACUCUUCCUUUCAGUGUUUGGUUAGAUGUAGAUGUACUAAUUUUUAAAAUCCGAAUAUCAGACAUUGUAAGAUUUGAAAAAAAAAUGUUUACAUUUUAACAGAAUACUAAUCCAUGUCUAGAAUGUAAACAAAUACCAAACGACCUUGAACAAAUUAAAAAAUAUUACAUUGAUUCUCGACAAAAAUAAAUGAGUAUUCGUUUGUACUACAUAAGAUUUCACACAUAAACCAAUAGAAACAAACAAAAAAAUAUCAUGUGGUUCACUCCUAGAGGAACCUCCCAUGCCUCAUCAUAUAAGAAUCACUACUAUAAUCUAAUCUGAGUAAAAACAUAUAAAUAUUUCAGAGACAUCAAGUAUACUGUCCAACUUCAUAUUCUUAACCUCCACCUACAAACAGUGAAUGAAGUAUCAAAGUCUUUGUAAGUACACCAUUAAAGCUCGGCUUGGGCUUGCUCUAAUAUUUCAUCCCUUAUAUUGAUGUUGAACAUGUCAGCGAGGAUAACAAUAUAUAAUUUGACCCGCCGUGGUUAAAAAAAAAAGGACGAUCCCAAUUGGUUACCAUACUACUCUCCUCUGAGAAGUAAUAUUUUGACUUACCAUGAUAGAAAAUGAUGAGGUUCCCUUCCAACGGGUGGCCUUACUACUUACUAGUUACUACUAGCGCAACAAUUGAUGCUACCAGCUGUGAUUGUUUAGUGUUGAUUAAUUGUUUAAUAUAUGUUUUUACUUUUGAAAAAAGAAUUGCCAAUUACAUUUCGACCACCAGUUAUUUAAAGGCAAAAUUAGUAUUUUCAUCAUCUAAAUUUAAGAUUGCUUUUGAUUUUAUUUUAUUACUUUUUAUUAUUUCAAUUUAAUCAUGUAAAUUUUCAAUUUAGAGCAUAUAAAUAUUUUUUUUAUUAGAUGUAAAUACUGAUUUUACUCAUUUAAAAUAUAAGUUACUUUUUUUUCAUGAAGGUAUCUCCUAACCAAUAAUUAAAGACUUAACCAAUUAUCUGAGGCCAAUUUUCUUUCAAAAUGAUAACCAAUAAUUGGAGAACAAUUUCUUUCAAAGUGAAAGUUCAUGAAAGUAAUCCAAAUAAUUGCAUGUUUCUCAAUAAAUUUUAUUCAAUAAUAAAUAAUGCAUCUGAAAGUCUGUGUGGAAAAGCUUGCUAUCAGUAAUCGUUUCAAGCUAUAAAUCCAAUUUCAUUCUAAUACGCACCUAGUAGCACGACGAACUGAUCGUUUAUUUCAGAUUUUUCUAUGGCGAGUGUUAACUGUUAAGAGAGGAUUUGAGAGUGACCAUAGUAAGAAAAGAACUGUACUUUUCAUUCAUUCAAUGCUUCAAUUACUACCACUUAAACACGGGGUAGCCACAACUAAUUUCUAAUUAUAACUGAAAGUGAAACUCUCCAAGUCACUAACUAACAGAAAAGGUUAGUUGUGACUUAGAUUUGUGAAAUUCAAGUACCAACACAAUUUGGAUUGGAUGAGCAAAAAUUCACCAUUGCAGGGGGAAAGAAAAAUCAUUUACUUGGAACCCAAAAUUUUAACUUGGUAGCGACAGAAAAGUACACGAGAUCUCCAUCAUCAAUCAAUUCAAACUUAACUCGGAAGAAAAGAAAAAAAAAAAAAAAGAACAAAAUACAGGGCAAAAGUUGCCAUUUUAAGACUUACAUCCACAAACAAGAAACAAUGAUUGCCACGGUCAUGAUAAAACCUUUAACUGUCUUUCUAUUCAAACUCACUGCAUUCGAAGCAUCAACCGAUGAACCCGAUGACCCAGAUGAAGCAUCAGCAGCCCCUGCCCGGACAUUUUUCUCCGGCUUGGAUGGCGCAGGAGCCUCCGCCGGUGCAGCAGCCGGUGCCGUCGCGCCGAAAAGCUUCAUAGGAAGAAGCACCUUAUCCACCUGAUACACUGAGAGCUGAGUAUCACUGUAGAUAGUAUUGGACACUGUUGUAUCAACCACCCCAGUUGUUACAUUCACUUGGUUCCCUGAGGUGGUCACAUUUAAAGGAUACUCUCCAUCAUCACUGUUUCCAGCUUGCGUGUGCAAGGGGUUACUUGCGGUUUGGAACUGUGAGAUGGUGUAGAGAGUGGGGAGAAUGUGGAAUUGUAUCAGCUGCAUUUGGUCUUGUGAGUUUAUGG